AUUGAACGCUGGCGGCAGGCCUAACACAUGCAAGUCGAACGGAGUGGCGGACGGGUGAAUAAUGUCUUGGAAACUGGCCUUCAGAGGGGGACAACAGGUGGAAACGACUGCUAAUACCGCAUACUGAUGGAGGGACUUGCGUCUGAUUAGCUAGUUGGGGGGGUAACGGCCCACCAAGGGGAUGAUCAGUAGCCUGGCUGAGAGGAUGAACGGCCACAAUGGGAACGAGACACGGCCCCGGCUUCUACGGGAGGCAGUAGUGGGGAAUCUUCCGCAAUGGACGGAAGGCGUACGGAGCAAAGCCGCGGGAGUGAUGACGGGCUUUCGGUUUUAAAGCUCUGGUAAUCGGGACGCGGUACCGAAAUAGAAAGCCACGGCUAACUACGUGCCAGCCGCCGCGGUAAUAC
rnacentral:rRNA from 1 species